rnacentral:rRNA from 1 species
UGCCCUAGUAACGGCGAGUGAAGCGGCAAAAGCUCAAAUUUGAAAUCUGGCGCCUUCGGCGUCCGAGUUGUAAUUUGUAGAGGAUGAUUCUGGGCAGCCACCGGUCUAAGUUCCUUGGAACAGGACGUCAUAGAGGGUGAGAAUCCCGUAUGCGACCGGAAGGGCACCCUACACGUAUCUCCUUCGACGAGUCGAGUUGUUUGGGAAUGCAGCUCUAAAUGGGAGGUAAAUUUCUUCUAAAGCUAAAUACCGGCCAGAGACCGAUAGCGCACAAGUAGAGUGAUCGAAAGAUGAAAAGCACUUUGGAAAGAGAGUUAAAAAGCACGUGAAAUUGUUGAAAGGGAAGCGCUUGCAACCAGACUUGCUCGCGGUGUUCCGCCGGUCAUACGGCCGGUUCACUCGCCGCGUUGCAGGCCAGCAUCGUCUGGGGCCGUCGGAUAAGACUCUGGGAAUGUAGCUCCCCUCGGGGAGUGUUAUAGCCCACUGUGAUGCGACGCGUCCCGGGCGAGGUCCGCGCUUCGGCUAGGAUGCUGGCGUAAUGGUUGUAAGCGGCCCGUCUUGAAACACGGACCAAGGAGUCUAACAUCUAUGCGAGUGUUCGGGUGUCAAACCCCUACGCGUAAUGAAAGUGAACGGAGGUGGGAACUUUAUUGUGCACCAUCGACCGAUCCUGAUGUCUUCGGAUGGAUUUGAGUAAGAGCAUAGCUGUUGGGACCCGAAAGAUGGUGAACUAUGCCUGAAUAGGGUGAAGCCAGAGGAAACUCUGGUGGAGGCUCGCAGCGGUUCUGACGUGCAAAUCGAUCGUCAAAUUUGGGUAUAGGGGCGAAAGACUAAUCGA